GUCAGAACCACCGAGUGGUCUAAGGUGCCAGACUCAAGUUCUUGUCCUCGAUUGAGAACGUGGGUUCAAAUCACACUUCUGACA
rfam:Picea glauca, whole genome shotgun sequence.